rnacentral:tRNA from 1 species
GAAGGUAUGGAUCAGUGGUAGAGCGCAUGCUUAGCGUGCACAAGGUCCUGGGUUCCAUCCCCAGUGCCUCCA